GAUGAAGAACGUAGCGAAAUGCGAUAAGUAAUGUGAAUUGCAGAAUUCAGUGAAUCAUCGAAUCUUUGAACGCACAUUGCGCCCGCCAGUAUUCUGGCGGGCAUGCCUGUCUGAGCGUCAUUUCAACCCUCAUGCCCCUAGGGCGUGGUGUUGGGGAUCGGCCAAAGCCCGCGAGGGACGGCCGGCCCCUAAAUCUAGUGGCGGACCCGUCGUGGCCUCCUCUGCGAAGUAGUGAUAUUCCGCAUCGGAGAGCGAUGAGCCCCUGCCGUUAAACCCCCAACUUUCCAAGGUUGACCUCAGAUCAGGUAGGAAUACCCGCUGAACUUACGCAUAUCAAUAAGCGGAGGA
rnacentral:misc_RNA from 1 species